rnacentral:lncRNA from 10 species
GUGAGUGAAUUAGGAGCUGAAGCAGUAAAGUAGCUUUCCCUGUGACCCUGAUGUGUCGGGCAUUUCUGUCUUAGACUAAAAGCAUAAUAAAAAAGGCACUUUGUUUAGGUUAACAGAGCAUUAUAUAACUGGAAAGUUUUACAGUUUUAUAUAUAUAGUGAAUAGUUUGUAGAGGAUAAAAAGACUUCCCUUUGGUUUAUUAUUUGGGUAAAAUAAAAACCCACGAAUCAUUUAAGGAUGCAUUUCUUUUUCUUUUUUCUGCCUUUUUUUUUUUAAGACAAAAGCUUGAAGGCAUAAAAUGGAGUUAUUUUCAUCGGGAUAUCACCCUCGAUGCUGCUGCUUUACUACAUGUUCAUAGUCAAAAUUAUUUCAUGUUUCCCUUGAAUAACUACGAUCAGUUUGAAAACAGCUUUGUUAAUUAGUAAGAGAUGACGCAAUAUAUCACUGCAUCUUUAGGGCUCUGGCGCCAGCUAGUGGUAGGAGAGGGGAGCCGCCCUGUCGCUCUCAAAUCUGGGAAGGCGUCGGUCUUCUCGCGUCCCCUUAUCCCUCAUCCUCCUCAUUUUUUUUUUCCAUCAGCAUAAUGGGGGAAUCAUUGCAGUGUGGCCAGAGAGGAGCAGACGAGAUUAUAGAUGAAAGUAGAGAAAAACGGUGGGCAGGGGCAGGGAGAGGAAAGGCCAGACAAAUGCAAUCAUUUCUCCAAAGGAUUUGAGAAGAGAUCAUUUAUUUGAAAUAUUCCUGCCAUGUUGAUGGAGCAGCUCAAUCUUUUGCCAGUGAAUCUUUAGCGUUUUGUUUUUCAUUUGUAGAUAUGGUUGAACAUAUACUUAGGACACGUAAUAACUAUGGAACUUCAUCACAAACACAGCACUGAGGACAUGUUAUAUUUUGCUGCUAAAAUUAGUUGGAGUUGGGAGGAGGAGCACUGGGGCAUAACCGUCAGCAGCUGCAGCUUGGAGAAGCUGGUUCUCUUGUCUUCAAGAAGGCAGAUCUCUCCCUAGCCUGCUGAGCCUUCUGUGUUUUGGGGAAGCUGAAUACAGACAAUAUGGAGGCCUCAGGCUCAGAGGAUGGCAGAGUCUUCAGAUGGAUGGAGGGAGCUGCAGUCACUGAACCACUGCAGGGAGAGAAGUACUCACAGACCAGGAACGCUCAACUUGGACUGUUAUGUGACAGAAAGAACUUGAUGUAUACCUCCUGACCUGUUCAUCUUGUAGCUGCCUCUUGACAGCACAUGUUGGCACCUUUAGAAAGAUCUAGAAAUCCACGUGUUGUACGUAAAUCUGGGGCUGUUGUUACUGCAGAUGUACCUUCCACAACUUGAUUUUCUGUGAUGUCAAUUAUUCAGAUAUAAGAGGCCGCCCUGUAGAGGAGGAAGGAGGAAGUUGGCUGUGAUUGACCUUGCUAGGUCAUCUUCCUAAUCUUUGUCCUUUCCUGCACCCCAAAUGGAAGAUAAAAGGCAAUGCAAGAUCAGCAUCCUCAGAGACAUCGUUUUGUUUGGGUUUCAUGGAUUGCAAUUGCCAGAGAUGCUUAGGCUGCCUCUAGAGGGAAGAUGAUUGAUUGUUAACCUAUGUGGUCCAACCAAAUGUCUUAGGGGUUAUUGAUAAUUAAAAUGGACAAUAGCGAUUUUCCAUUUCUUCUGGCCUUGGGUGCUGGCAUGUGGAAGUGGUAUUGAUACUCAUGACCAAAUAGGCACUUAUCGAUUUCAGUUUUCAUAAGUUGCCUACCAAAUGCAAACUAGUAACCCAGACGUGGGAGACCUAAUAUUCCAUUGUUAAUCUUUAGGUCCAUAAUUUUUAUUUCCUCUACUUGCCUCUUCUUCCUUCCUCUGCAUAAUGAGUUGGGCUUAUAUAAUUGCACCCAUUUACUCACUCAUUCGUUCAAUCAAUUAUUUGUUCCUAUUUUAUGCCAAGUAAUGAACAGAAGGUGUUGGGGAUGCAAAACCCAACUAAUUGGAAUUUCUAUGUUACAGGAGCUUAUGCUUUAGUGAAAUUAUAGACAAAUUAUUAUACAGUUUUAAUCCAGAAUAGUAAGUGCUAUGGGAGCAUGCACAGAGGAAACAACCCAAUCUUAAGGAAUCAGGAAGGUUUGCAGAGGACUGACAGGAAAAGUGGGCAGGUGAAGAAGAUGGGCAGUGAGAGGAGGAGUGGAAGCACUUUUGCUAGGGAAAAACAUGAAUAAAAGGGAUAAUUUUCUGCUCUUACCCCUGGGUGAUCUUUGCGUGGUACUGUCCAUCACAGUUGGGAGAGACGGCUCCUCAGAGCUGCUCCACACUGUUCACAGAGGAUGCCAUUCCAAGGAAACUGGGGAAUAGGGAAAGUCUUUAGCUUAUUCCUCUUUGAGGUUUGUUUGAGAUGCAGUUUCUUCAAUAUUUUGAGUCUAUGAAAACAUGUUGUAUACUUAAAUAUAUACCACAAAAAAUAAAAAAAAUUGCGAUUUAAA